GGUUAAUAGAGGGGCAGUUUAACAGAGGAAACUGCAGCUCUGAGGAGGAAGAUAUUUUUGUCCUUCUUGGUUUCCAGUGAAGACAACGUGCACAAAAGAUGUCUGUUUCCAGGUCAGAGUGAGAAGGCAGAGGAAAUUACCACCAGCCACCAAACAUAUCACAGUGAAACUUCGCCUGUGGGGGAUGAAGAAGUAAAAAAAAAAAAAAAAUUCACAAAAUGUUGGUCAAACUUGUGGCUGAACGCAGGUGGUUUACAGAAGAAAUACUUUUUCUACCCUCAAUGUAAAUCUGAGCUUCGUCACAGCAAGAAUCACCGGAUUUAAUUCCAGGAUGUAGCUUCGUUCAAAACCACAGCAUCUGGCUGAGGAUUCCCUUUGACCUCUGGCUUGGCUAAUACCUGGAAAGGGACGCGGCUCGGUUCCCUGCCUGUCUGGACACAUCUCUUGUGGGAUCCUGAAGGCCGACGCUGAUGUUUUUGGGCAGAUGCCUUCUGCUGCAGAUAUCUAAUACUGUGUCUUUCUCUGUUUAAACUUCCACUUCAAUGCUUUUCGUGCCAGAGCCUGCCACAAAAUUACAAGUAUUCAGUAGGAGGGCCUGCGAGGCAGAACGGAGCCGCGGAAAAACAUGACCUAACAACAGAAAAAUACACUGGAGCUUAUUUUUAUGGAACCCAACCAGAAAACCUUUAAGAUCGUCAAAUAAAUUAACAAACCUCUGGUCUCAGCUUAUAUUAUCCAACACAUUCUAACAAGUUGGAAGAUUCAAAUUUCAAUUGAUUUUCUCUUUUGAAGCUCCACAAAUAUAUAGCUACUACUGUAUAAGUCUUUGAAUUAAUUAGAUUUUAUGUUUUCUGAAAGCAUUUCACUCUUUUAUGGGCUGAUUUUUCAGUUACCAAAUUUUUUUUUAGCUAAUUGCCAUCUCUCUCUACAAAAGGAACAACUUUCUCUCAAAUCAGAAGUACAUAAAUAUAUAAAAGCUUUGCAAAUUCGGGAAUCUUUUAGCUCUUCUUUAUUUUUAUUGUACAAAAUGUAUAAUAUUUUUAUGCAAAUUUUCUAAAGUAGCAAGCUGCUUCAAAAUUAUUGGUAUUAAAGUUCUUGAAACUCACCAAUCAUAAACUUUUUUACUGCCUGUGAAAAUGCAAUUAGGACACAAAAUGGUGGCAAACGCUAACUGAAAAGCUAGCUGUGCUAACCACAAAGCGCUAAUCAUAAACUUUAGUUCCGCUAACGCUAAAGCAGGUGCUAACAAUAAGUUGCUAAAUUCAACCAUGUCCAUCCAACAUGACAGAUCAUGUGCAACGUGAGUCCAUUUGCUCAAUAAAGUUUCUUGGACAACAAUAGAGAAUGUGAGGAGAGGAAUUGGACCUGCUGCGCACAUUUCAAAAUAAAAGCAUAAACAUAAACGUCUAACUACU